GUGGGGAGGAGAAGACCAGGAACCUCACAUGAACAAGAGGGGAACUUUCCCUUGAAGAAAACCCUACGAACAGGGUGGCAUCUUACCUCCCUAACAGCAAUGUAUUUUUAGUUAGGCAGUUCAUACACAGUUCCCCUGGGCUUAGAGUUUAUAAGUGACAGAGACAGGAUAACAAAAAGCCAAAACAGAGUAAUGCUCCUUUGUAAAGAACAGUUGUAAGGAGAUCAUUUCUAAAGUCAAAUGAAAUUAAUUUUGCUUUUCUUUCCAGUGACGGAGAGAGGCUGGAUACUCACCAGGCCCACUCAUUCCUCACAGACACACAACCAGACCCCCUUCCCAGGCCCCUUGCAUCGAGCUGGGUGGAACCCUGUGCUGUGCUGGGUUUGAUUUUGAUGGACCAAACCCUACAGUAACCUCAUCAGAAAGAGUGCCCUGGAGCUUGAUGGACAUCACCUGAGAAAAAUGAUUUGCG